CUCUACUCUGCUGGAGGAAAUGAAAGGAAAAGUCAGUUACCCAUGUAACAGUGAUCUGAGAAUCUUUACUUGGGGCAAACACUGAAAUAACAGGGUACCUUUUUCUUCUUUACCAGCUCCACAUAGUGACUGCUAAGAAAGAUGAUCUACAUUCCGAAGGACUGGAUACCGGGUCAGCCUCCUCCCUACAUAUUAGUUAUAUUUAGAGUGACCACAGAAUUUAUUUGGAAUCUUUUGAGAGUAAAGAGUAUAUUACUAAUGAUUUUGCCAGAAUCAGGAAUAAACAGAUUCUGCCCAGAGCAACCAAGAAUGCAUGGUUACCCUAGCAAUACCUGUGCCCU
ensembl:lincRNA